GAUGAAGAACGCAGCAAAAUGCGAUACUUGGUGUGAAUUGCAGAAUCCCGUGAACCAUCGAGUUUUUGAACGCAAGUUGCGCCCGAAGCCUUUUGGCCGAGGGCACGUCUGCCUGGGCGUCACGCAUCGCGUCGCCCCCCACAAUUCUCCGUAAAGGGAACAUGUGUUUUGGGGGCGGAUAUUGGUCUCCCGUGCUCAUGGCGUGGUUGGCCGAAAUAGGAGUCCUUUCGAUGGACGCACGAACUAGAGGUGGUCGUAAAAACCCUCGUCUUUUGUUUCGUGCUGUUGGUCGCAAGGUAAACUCUUUAAAAACCCCAAUGUGUCGUCUCUUGACGACGCUUCGACCGCGACCCCAGGUCAGGCGGGACUACCCGCUGAGUUUAAGCAUAUCAAUAAGCGGAGGA
rnacentral:misc_RNA from 1 species